CCCAGAGUCUGGCAGCUGUUCCAGGUAGUUAGUGCGCCCAGGCCUUGUAGCAGUAGUCAUUGCCAGCAGCUCAAGUUCUACGGCUCCCGGACAAUCCUUCAAAGUCUUUGUAGCAAUACCAGAUGUAUUUGAAAUAUUUAAUUUAGCUGCGCCAAUGUCACCUGCUUUGUAACUUUCGCCUUGGUCGGGCUUAGGUGCGGACGUGCCUAUCUUAUCACCACAGCUUGGUUCUGUAACUGUCGCUCUCUCUUGGCUUAGAUCAGAAGCAGCUACUUUGCCUUUCUUUUCUCUGCCAAACUGUUCAACAGCUGGCCGACAUUCUUGGGUAGCCUCGGCUACUAAACAGUGCACCGCAUUGCUAUACUCAGCU